rnacentral:rRNA from 1 species
AACGAACGCUGGCGGCAUGCCUAACACAUGCAAGUCGAAUGGGAUCCUGGUUUCGGCCAGGUGAGAGUGGCGGACGGGUGAGUAACGCGUGGGAACCUGCCCAGUGGUGGGGGAUAACUGCGGGAAACUGCAGCUAAUACCGCAUGAGCCCGCAAGGGGAAAGAUUGAUCGCCAUUGGAGGGGCCCGCGUUCGAUUAGGUAGUUGGUGAGGUAACGGCUCACCAAGCCUACGANCGAUAGCUGGUCUGAGAGGAUGAUCAGCCACACUGGGACUGAGAUACGGCCCAGACUCCUACGGGAGGCAGCAGUGGGGAAUAUUGGACAAUGGGGGCAACCCUGAUCCAGCAAUGCCGCGUGAGUGAUGAAGGCC